UACGUAGGGGGCAAGCGUUGUCCGGAUUUAUUGGGCGUAAAGAGCGUGUAGGCGGCUAGAUAGGUCCGUUGUGAAAACUCGAGGCUCAACCUCGAGACGCCGAUGGAAACCAUCCAGCUAGAGUCCGGAAGAGGAGAGUGGAAUUCCCGGUGUAGCGGUGAAAUGCGCAGAUAUCGGGAAGAACACCCGUGGCUAAGGCGGCUCUCUAGUACGGUACUGACGCUGAGACGCGAAAGCGUGGGGAGCGAACAGG
rnacentral:rRNA from 1 species